UAAUUUUGCAAUUCCACCAUGCCAGUGACAUCAACUGUUCAAACACCACUGUUGUUUAGAGGCACCCUUAAAGAAUAUCAGUUGAAAGGUCUUCAGUGGCUGGUUAAUUGUUAUGAGCAGGGUUUGAAUGGCAUUCUUACUGAUGAGAUGGGCCUCGGAAAAACCAUUCAGGUUAUGGCAUUUUUGGCUCAUCUAGCGGAAG